rnacentral:sRNA from 1 species
GCUGGGCAUAGUGGUGUACACCUGUAAUCCUAGCAACUCAGGAGGCUGAGGCAAGAGUAUUGCCAAUUUGAGGCCAGUUUUAGUAACAGUAAGGUCCUAAACAACUUAGCAAGACCCUAUCUCAA